GAGUCUUUCGGGGCAUCUGGAGUUCGAGGCAGGAGACGUUCACAGCAGUUUCAUCCCGCAGCACUAUGAUCUUCCCAGCCGCUCGCAGGCUCUGUCAGGACGCUCUGGGACUGCCGCACCGCGAAAAACAGCACACAGAGAAACACAGAAACCAAACCAGUGACAUGUUCUCUCCGUUUGCCUCCAGUAACAGGAGACGACUCAAUGUCCUGCACUGCAGGAACCUGACACUGCAGCUCGGGACGACAAAGUGGAAUUAUCUAUUUCUUACAAUCCAGAUGGGACAUACAGUAUGGAGGUGCUAGUCAAGGCUGGAGACUCGGUCCAGAAAGGAGAUCCAUUAAUGGUGAUGAUUGGCAUGAAGAUGGAGCUUACCAUCCGUGCACCCAAAGCAGCAGUCAUCAAGAGGGUGUUCUUCACAGAGGGCUCACAGGCUAACCGUCACGCAGCUGUGGUAGAGAUGGAGGAAGAGGAAGGCGCUGGGGAAGAGUAAAUCUAGUGAUUCACAGACAGAUGACUGGAAAUCCUGUACAAUCUAGAAGAAGCACUACAAAUUAGUUUGGAUCUAAAAAUUAAAACUAGGAUCUUUAAGACGAUACAUCUUGUCACCUUUAUCUUUGCUUGUCAGAAAUUCAGUCCCCAAUAUCUUGGUGUUUCUGGUCUCCUGGUUCUUUUGUACCAUGAUAAUCAUGGUCAUUUUAUGGGUAAAUGAAGAUCAACGGCUGGAUGACUGUGGAAUGACUUGCCAUCUCUCUAUUAACAAAAAACACUGACUCAUGUUGUUGCUUGUCCCAUACCUGUGAAAUAGAGAACUCCUGUGAAGCAUUGUUUAAUACAGUAAUGUAUUUGUGGUCAAUAAGGUGCCUUGGUGUUAGUUUGACUACUAAACUUUUUAACAUUAAUCAUUAAUCAUUUAAUCAUCAACGAUUUUCCACCUUUGAGUUCAUAAUUAGUCUGACCAAUAAGGUAAAAAGAAUUUCUUCACUAUGUAACAAAAAGAAGUCACUGUUCACAAUCUAUGCAUCAAAUUCAGGUUUUGAUCCAAAUUCAUGGGUGUAAACCCCGACAACUGUCAACAACUUCAUUAUUCAGUAGAAUUAUACUUUAUUUAUAG